AAGACUAUAGACCUGCGGAGUACCUGCGGAAGGAUCAUUACCGAGUUAUACAACUCAUCAACCCUGUGAACAUACCUAUAACGUUGCCUCGGCGGGAACAGACGGCCCCGUAACACGGGCCGCCCCCGCCAGAGGACCCCCUAACUCUGUUUCUAUAAUGUUUCUUCUGAGUAAACAAGCAAAUAAAUUAAAACUUUCAGCAAUGGAUCUCU
rnacentral:misc_RNA from 1 species